UACCAGCACCCCGAGUGGUCGGGACGAUUAUUGGGCCUAAAGCAUCCGUAGCCGGUUCUACAAGUCUUCCGUUAAAUCCACCUGCUCAACAGACGGGCUGCGGAGGAUACUAUAGAGCUAGGAGGCGGGAGAGGCAAGCGGUACUUAGUGGGUAGGGGUAAAAUCCGUUGAUCCAUUGAAGACCACCAGUGGCGAAGGCGGCUUGCCAGAACGCACUCGACGGUGAGGGAUGAAAGCUGGGGGAGCAAACCGG
rnacentral:rRNA from 1 species